UACAGAGGGGGCAAGCGUUGUUCGGAAUUACUGGGCGUAAAGGGCGCGUAGGCGGCCAGCACAAGUCAGUUGUGAAAUCUCCGAGCUUAACUCGGAAAGGUCAACUGAUACUGUGCGGCUAGAGUGCGGAAGGGGCAACUGGAAUUCUUGGUGUAGCGGUGAAAUGCGUAGAUAUCAAGAGGAACACCUGUGGCGAAAGCGGCACCCUGGCGUCGUACUGACGCACAUGUGCGAAAGCCGUGG
rnacentral:rRNA from 1 species